GACAGAGGUCUCAAGCGUUAGGCGGAAUCACUGGGCUUAAAGCGUGUGUAGGCGGAUUCCUAAGUACUUUGUGAAAUCCCCGGGCUUAACCCGGGAACUGCUUGGUAUACUGGGUGUCUUGAGCCAACUAGGGGCGACCGGAACAAACGGUGGAGCGGUGAAAUGCGUAGAUAUCGUUUGGAACGCCAAUGGUGAAAACAGGUCGCUGGGGUUGUGCUGACGCUGAGACACGAAAGCCAGGGGAGCGAACGGG
rnacentral:rRNA from 1 species